UACGAAGGGGGCUAGCGUUGCUCGGAAUCACUGGGCGUAAAGCGCACGUAGGCGGCUUUCUAAGUCAGGGGUGAAAUCCUGGAGCUCAACUCCAGAACUGCCUUUGAUACUGGGAAGCUCGAGUCCGGAAGAGGUGAGUGGAACUCCGAGUGUAGAGGUGAAAUUCGUAGAUAUUCGGAGGAACACCAGUGGCGAAGGCGGCUCACUGGUCCGGUACUGACGCUGAUGCGCGACAGCAUGGGGAGCAAACAGG
rnacentral:rRNA from 1 species